rnacentral:rRNA from 1 species
UACGGAGGGGGCUAGCGUUGUUCGGAAUUACUGGGCGUAAAGCGCACGUAGGCGGCUUUGCAAGUUAGAGGUGAAAGCCCGGGGCUCAACUCCGGAAUUGCCUUUAAAACUGCAUCGCUAGAAUUGUGGAGAGGUAAGUGGAAUUCCGAGUGUAGAGGUGAAAUUCGUAGAUAUUCGGAAGAACACCAGUGGCGAAGGCGGCCUUCUGGACAGUGACUGACGCUGAGACGCGAAAGCGUGGGGAGCAAACAGG